CUUGAACCAAUCUACAAAGCAAAAUAUUUUUCCUUUAUUGGAGUGAAUGUCUUGCUUUUCAGACAAGGGUCAGUAAUCACGGAAACACAGCUAGCUUUCAACUCCACACAAGCUAUUCCAACUGUUCAAGAGAUUUCAGACACCCUCUUUACAGCAGUGAUAAACGGAAGUGUCAACCCACUGAACAUAACUCCUUAUUCAAUUUCAGUCAACGGUUCGAGUAAGUUUGCUUGCAUUUCAGAAAACAUCUUGCAAAUUCCGAAAGUCUAAGAAAAACUGUGCCUACCACUUUUGCUCAGUAGAUCUUGUAGAAUUUACAACCUUAUCACUAUGUAUACUGACACACAAAACACACAGUGCAAUUCGUUUGUCUAAUUUGUACACUUUUUUUCUUACAGUUAUAAACGUGACUACUUCAACUACAGCAUCAACAACAACAACAGCAAUGACGAUGACAACAACAAGAACAACAACAACCACACCGACAACAACUACAAGACCCUUGACAUCUACAACUAAAGUGCCUGCAACUAAAACUACACAAUUUGUACCUGUGUAUCUAACAGCUCUGGUGUUCCGCUCUUUAGACAUAUUCAUAACUGAACUCAGUAAUCAAAGCUCUCAGGCCUUCAAGUCAAGAUCUGAGCUUGUCAGAUCUCAGCUCGAACCCAUCUACAGAGCAAAAUAUCCUUCCUUUAUCAGAGUGAUUGUCUUAAGUUUCCGUCCUGGGUCAAUCAUCACAGAAACUCAACUAGUUUUUAACUCCACACAACCUGUUCCAACCGUUCAAGAGAUUUCAGACUCCCUCCUGUCAGCAGUGGUAACAGGAGGUGUCGAUCCACUGAACAUAAUCCCUUCAACAGUUUCAGUCAAUGGUUCAGUUAUAGCUACGACUGUUGCUGCAACUACAGCUUCAAGUGGACUGAAGAUUGAAUCCAGCCUGCUCCAAGCAACAUGGCUCAUUAUUAUGGCAAAAAUAUUACAGUUUUUCCUAUAGAUCUCUUAACAAUGAAUGUGAGUUGCGAGAAAUGAAAGGCAUGUGGCAGGCACACAAUUAUAUUAUCAAAUUAUAUUAUUUUUGUAUGUGUGUUUGUGUAUUGUGGUAUUAAGUAUUGUAGCACACUCUUGAAAUAUGGCAAUGGCAAAAUAAGCAUAAGCCUGAAAUUGCAUUGAUUCUAAGGAGCACAAUUUGUAAUUAGAAAAAAUAAUAUAUGUAUAUUUAUUUAUCAGCAGGUUGUAGUAAUCAAUCAAAUAAGGAAAAUUCCUAUUUCCUAUUCAGUAUUUUAAAUGUAAUGCUUUUGUUCACUUGUCUGCAGGUUAAAGACUAUUUAUACUGUAAUUCUCUUUUGUCUAGUAUGUGCUAAUAUCGCAAGAACUUAUUUAAUCUUAUUAUAAUCAAAUAAACAUAUUUAUUAAGUUCA
ensembl:lncRNA